rnacentral:misc_RNA from 1 species
GAUGAAGAACGUAGCGAAAUGCGAUACGUAAUGUGAAUUGCAGAAUUCAGUGAAUCAUCGAGUCUUUGAACGCACAUUGCGCCCCCUGGUAUUCCGGGGGGCAUGCCUGUCCGAGCGUCAUUGCUGCCCUCAAGCACGGCUUGUGUGUUGGGCCUCCGUCCUCCUCCCGGGGGACGGGCCCGAAAGGCAGCGGCGGCACCGCGUCCGGUCCUCGAGCGUAUGGGGCUUCGUCACCCGCUCUUGUAGGCCCGGCCGGCGCUUGCCGACACAUCAAUCUUUUUUCCAGGUUGACCUCAGAUCAGGUAGGAAUACCCGCUGAACUUAAGCAUAUCAAUAAGCGGAGGA